UCUCUCUAGGUGUAUAUAGUAAUUGCUAUAGCAUAUGCUUAUGUGGAUGUCUCUAACUCUGUAGUAUCUAGGUGUAUCCAAAAACGAACGCUUUCCAUCGCGUAGCACAAUCAUCUUAUCCAUCUGCCUCGGUAUUCUCAUUAUCAUUC
rnacentral:sRNA from 1 species